GAUGAACGCUGGCGGCGUGCUUAACACAUGCAAGUCGAACGGGAAUUCCUUUAUUGAAACUUCGGUCGAUUUAAUUUAAUUCUAGUGGCGGACGGGUGAGUAACGCGUGGGUAACCUGCCUUAUACAGGGGGAUAACAGUCAGAAAUGGCUGCUAAUACCGCAUAAGCGCACAGAGCUGCAUGGCUCGGUGUGAAAAACUCCGGUGGUAUAAGAUGGACCCGCGUUGGAUUAGCUUGUUGGUGGGGUAACGGCCCACCAAGGCGACGAUCCAUAGCCGGCCUGAGAGGGUGAACGGCCACAGUGGGACUGAGACACGGCCCAGACUCCUACGGGAGGCAGCAGUGGGGAAUAUUGCACAAUGGGGGAAACCCUGAUGCAGCGACGCCGCGUGAAGGAAGAAGUAUCUCGGUAUGUAAACUUCUAUCAGCAGGGAAGAUAGUGACGGUACCUGACUAAGAAGCCCCGGCUAACUACGUG
rnacentral:rRNA from 1 species